AGUGGCUCUGGGCAGGGUGAUGUACAGGCAGGAGGGAUCCUGCACAAGGAACGAGUGGAGAUAGAUAACUCUCCUCCUCCUCAGAAAUAAAUAAAGCCAAAGAGAGGGUGGUUUUACUCUUCCUAUAGUUCUGGGAACAUCCUGACCUCUGGGGCCUGACCCUAAUCACUCAGUGACUCCAAAUGGUCCAUGGGCUUGCAUGGCUGGGGACAGAAAUUGCACCCACUGACAUGUUCCCCUGUGGAGGCUUCCCACCAGUGGGGAGUUAACCAGUGACCGCCAGUGCUUCUGCAGGGGUAUGGUUACGCUCCAUUUCCAUCGUCUAUUUUUUAUUUUUCCACCUUAGGGAGAAAUAAGAAGCCCGAUUAUAGAUUUUUCCCUGAUUUCAUCCCCAGACUGACGUGGGUGGAAAGGCUGCAGAGAUUGCUAAGGACACAUCUGAGGUCUUUUUUUUGGGGGUCCUAGAAAUCCGGCGUGAGCUCCUCGAGCUGGGUCUGCUUUGUUUUAAAAGAGAACGUGAGCUGCUGGGGCUGGCGCGGUGGGAUGCUGACAACACCUGGCAGAAGGGCUGUGCUCAGAUCAGGACGACUGCAUGUGUUUAAUUUUGAGCUGGAGGAGGAGAACUAUGGUCAAGUCCUGACAUCACUGCCUAUUUCUCAGCUGAAUGAGAAGUCUCCAGUUCUGCCUUUGAUACCCUGACCAGGACAAACUCCAGAAACAUUUUAGUGCACGGAUGGAGGGCAGAGACCAAAGGAGACCAGCACAGCAGCGCCGAACCUGGUGGCAUGGAGACCGAUGUGGGGUAAGAGAGAUGAGCUCCAGCGCCAGGGAUCAUCCUGGGGCUGAUCCACAGCACUGAAAGCUGUGAGCACCAGCAGGAACUGGCUGA
rnacentral:lncRNA from 1 species